rnacentral:rRNA from 1 species
UACGGGGGGGGGCAAGCGUUGUUCGGAAUUACUGGGCGUAAAGGGCUCGUAGGUGGCCAACUAAGUCAGACGUGAAAUCCCUCGGCUUAACCGGGGAACUGCGUCUGAUACUGGAUGGCUUGAGUUCGGGAGAGGGAUGCGGAAUUCCAGGUGUAGCGGUGAAAUGCGUAGAUAUCUGGAGGAACACCGGUGGCGAAGGCGGCAUCCUGGACCGACACUGACGCUGAGGCGCGAAAGCGUGGGGAGCAAACAGG